rnacentral:rRNA from 1 species
AUUGAACGCUGGCGGCAGGCCUAACACAUGCAAGUCGAGCGGAGUGGCGGACGGGGGAGUAAUGCCUAGGAAUCUGCCUGGUAGUGGGGGAUACCGUCCGGAACCGGGCUCUAAUACGGCAUACAAGCGGAUGACCCAAGGUCGGAUUAGCUGGUUGGUGGGGUAAAGGCCUACCAAGGCGACGAUCCGUAACUGGUCUGAGAGGAUGAUCAGUCACACUGGAACGGAGACACGGUCCAGACUCCUACGGGAGGCAGCAGUGGGGAAUAUUGGACAAUGGGCGAAAGCCUGAUCCAGCCAUGCCGCGUGUGUGAAGAAGGUCUUCGGAGUGUAAAGCACUUUAAGUUGGGAGGCGUUACCAACAGAAUAAGCACCGGCUAACUUCGUGCCAGCAGCCGCGGUAAUUC